CGACUCUCGGCAACGGAUAUCUCGGCUCUCGCAUCGAUGAAGAACGUAGCGAAAUGCGAUACUUGGUGUGAAUUGCAGAAUCCCGUGAACCAUCGAGUCUUUGAACGCAAGUUGCGCCCGAAACCAUCCGGUUGAGGGCACGUCUGCCUGGGCGUCACGCAUU
rnacentral:rRNA from 2 species